AGAGUUUGAUCAUGGCUCAGAGCGAACGCUGGCGGCGUACUUAACACAUGCAAGUCGAACGGGGAUCAUUGUGUGAGCAAUCAUGUGAUGGUCCUAGUGGCGCACGGGUGAGUAACACGUGGGUAACCUGCCCUCGAGACCGGGAUACCCCUUCGAAAGGGGGGCUAAUACCGGAUACGUUCCCCGGGUCGAAAGAUCUGAGGAAGAAAGGUGGCGUAAGCUGCCGCUCUUGGAGGGGCUCGCGGCCUAUCAGCUAGUUGGCGGGGUAACGGCCCACCAAGGCUAUGACGGGUAGCUGGUCUGAGAGGACGACCAGCCACACGGGGACUGAGACACGGCCCCGACUCCUACGGGAGGCAGCAGUGGGGAAUUUUCCGCAAUGGGCGAAAGCCUGACGGAGUGACGCCGCGUGUGGGAUGAAGGCCUUCGGGUCGUAAACCACUGUCAGUGGGAAAGAUGGGUGUCGGCGUGAUAACCGCCGGCAUCUGACGGUACCUGCAGAGGAAGCCCCGGCUAACUCUGUGCCAGCAGCCGCGGUAAGACAGAGGGGGCAAGCGUUGCUCGGAAUUACUGGGCGUAAAGGGCGCGUAGGCGGGAUGGCAAGUCGGUCGUGAAAUCCCUCGGCUCAACUGAGGAGCGUCGAUCGAAACUGCCGUUCUUGAGGGUUGCAGAGGAGACUGGAAUUCCCGGUGUAGCGGUGAAAUGUGUAGAGAUCGGGAGGAACACCGGUGGCGAAGGCGGGUCUCUGGGCAACUCCUGACGCUGAGGCGCGAAAGCGUGGGGAGCAAACGGGAUUAGAUACCCCGGUAGUCC
rnacentral:rRNA from 1 species